rnacentral:rRNA from 1 species
CACGCCCUAAACGAUGCCUACUAGGUUGUAGAACCUCUGACGGUUUUACGGCCGAAGCAAAAGUGUUAAGUAGGCCGCCUGGGAAGUACGGUCGCAAGGCUAAAACUCAAAGGAAUUGACGGGGGCUCACACAAGCGGUGGAGUAUGUGGAUUAAUUCGAAGCAACGCGCAGAACCUUACCUGGGUUUGACAUGGUUGGAUGGCUUACUGGAAACAGUGUAGUCUGCCCGCAAGGGUGAAACUUCCACAGGUGC